UAGUCAUAUGCUUGUCUCAAAGAUUAAGCCAUGCAUGUGUAAGUAUAAGUAUUAUACGGCGAAACUGCGAAUGGCUCAUUAAAACAGUUAUAAUUUAUUUGAUAAUCGAAAGUUACAUGGAUAACCGUGACAAAUUACAGCUAAUACAUGCAGUCAGACCUGGUCCAAGGGUCGUAAUUAUUAGUACCAAACCAAUUCCGCAAGGAAUGUGAUGAAUCAUAGUAAUCGAACGAAUCGCAGGUAUAUGCGAUAAAUCAUUCAAGUUUCUGCCCUAUCAGCUUUGGAUGGUAGUGUAUUGGACUACCAUGGCAGUCACGGGUAACGGAGAAUUAGGGUUCGAUUCCGGAGAGGGAGCCUGAGAGACGGCUACCACAUCUAAGGAAGGCAGCAGGCGCGCAAAUUACCCAAUGGCAAUUCGCCGAGGUAGCGACAAGAACUAACUGUUGUGGGCUUCGGUCCGCGAACGGGAAUGAGGUUGUACGUAAAACCCACACCGAGUAACAAUU
rnacentral:rRNA from 1 species